rnacentral:misc_RNA from 1 species
UUUCCGUAGGUGAACCUGCGGAAGGAUCAUUGCUGAAUCAGGGCCCCUCGGGGAUCCAACCUCCCACCCGUGUUUAACGCACCUUGUUGCUUCGUCGGCCCCCCCUCACGGCCGCCGGUGGGCAUCUGCCCCCCGGCCCGCUCCCGCCGUGGCCGCCUGUGAACGCUGUCUGACAUAUGCAGUCUCAGACAAUUAUUUAAUUAAUUAAAACUUUCAACAACGGAUCUCUUGGUUCCG